CGCAGAGCUCAGCCCAGCCCUGAGGGUCUCUCCACCAGGCAGAGGAGGAGGAAUGUGUGUCAUGCUGGAUGGAAAGGGAUUUUUUGGGACUCUGGUGAGACCUCCUGGAUGUGAUCCCAGGGAAGGGAUGACUCGGAGGUGGCUCCACAGGCAUUUCCCUGUGGAUCCCUCAUAGAAGGAAACUGUAAACAAUAAAUCCUGGAAAUUGUUCCACUCUCCCUGCACAUCCCAAAGGCAUCUGGAAAGGCGCCCAGCCCGGGGGAGGACGGUGCAGGCCAUGACACGCUCUGCAGGGACAGGGAUUUGGUGGAAGUGACGCAGAGUUUGGCCCAGCCUGGCCGGAUUCGUGUCACUCCAGGAGUGGCCUUGAUCCCUGUCCUGCCAGAGCCCAGCCUGGAGCUGUGCUGCCUCAGGUCCUCCUCAUGCUGCUCUUCCCAGGGCAGGGGGCUCCCAGAGGAAGGGAUUAUUCAUUUCCAGGAAUGUUUGAAGCAGAGGGAGCUCCUGGACUGCUGCGUCACUGGGGCUGGAGCCGCUGGAGCUGUUUCCAUGAGCGCAGAGCGGGUGACUUCGGCCCCUGGCGGUGCUUUCCAGAGCCGUGAGCCGGGUGCAGCAGCCGAAACUCCAAGGCGGGUCCCCAGGCUUUCAGUCGGGCUCCUGAACCAGUGCGGGAGCACGGAUUCGGUGAGACACAUGGCGAGUUUUUUAAAGACAAUACUGGAGCCGCCAGAGGAGGAGGCAUUUGACCACUUGGCAUGGAUGAAGAAGACUUGUAUCAACAUCUCCGGGGGCCUGAGCUCAGAGGAUGUGCUGCCCUCUCCCAACGUGGGGCUGCCCAGCGCCCUGAUCCCCCGGCAGCCGCCCAGAGCCGCCUACGUGACCCACACGGGACCGCUGGUGCGGCGGCUGCGGCAGCAGGAGCGGCUGGGCAGGGCCGGCCUGGCACCGAUACCGGCACCAAUACCGGCACUGGCACCGAUACCGGCACUGGCACCGAUACUGGCACCGAUACCGGCACCAACACUGGCACCAGCACUGACGCCGAUACCAGCACCAAUACCAGCACCGGCACUGGCACCGAUACUGGCACCGAUACCGGCACCGACACUGGCACCAGCACCGGCACUGGCACCAGCACUGGCACCGAUACCGGGCAUUUGCCACACGGUUAUCUUCGCCAGAAAACCGCCCUGCUCCAGCCCCAGGGAAUGACCGGCUGCCGCUGAAGCCAAGGAGAGAGAGAAGAUGCUCCCAAGUGUUUUCCAGACUCCAUUAAACUUCCCCUGCAAGCAGCAUUUAACUCCUGGAGUCUUUCCCUGAUUGGAAUGAAAGCAGGAGGGGGUGGAAAUGCAUCCUGGUCUCUGCUCACAGCUCUACAUUUGAAAUGAAAUAUUUCACUUGUGAUGGGGGGAAAAAAAUUUAUCCUGUUUUUGCUGUCAAAAUUAAAUUUGCUUAAGGAAGCCGUUUGUCCUGGAAAACUCUGCUGGAGUUAUAAACAGCUUAUCUGAUAAUCCUGAGUAUUUUCUGCUGCAUUUAUUGUGUGGUUCCUGCUGUGCAGCCCCUGGGAUUUUGGCUGCUGUGGGACUGGUGCCACUUGGCUGCUGAGUGCUUUGGGAAAGGGUGUUUGGCUUCUGCAGGGAAAGAAUGUGAAGAAUGAGAAAAUGUGGCAAAUAAAAAAAAGAGAAACUACCACGUUCUGGGCUGGAUAAAUAAAUUUGUUCCCUGUCCUAUUUUGAGCCUGGUUCCUCUCGCCGUGCCUGCAGCACGUCACGAGCCCCGUGCUCAGGAGUGGCCCUGCCAACCCUCAGUGCUGGUCACGAGCCACGGAACUGGGAACAAUCAAAAGUAAAUAAAGAAGUAAAUAAAUAAAUAGAGCUCCCUUUCCAGCUCUUCCCUGGGGCUUUGUUAGGGGGAUCCUGGAAAGGGAUGCGGCCAAGUGCUGCC
ensembl:lncRNA